AUACCGUCACAACGGCUUCCUGGCGUGACGGCCUGGUAUGAACGGAGCA
rfam:Paracoccus halophilus strain JCM 14014 Contig_8, whole genome shotgun sequence.